CCUACGGGAGGCAGCAGUGAGGAAUAUUGGUCAAUGGACGCGAGUCUGAACCAGCCAAGUAGCGUGAAGGAUGACUGCCCUAUGGGUUGUAAACUUCUUUUAUAUGGGAAUAAAAUGUUCCACGUGUGGGAUUUUGUAUGUACCAUAUGACUAAGGAUCGGCUAACUCCGUGCCAGCAGCCGCGGUCAUACGGAGGAUCCGAGCGUUAUCCGGAUUUAUUGGGUUUAAAGGGAGCGUAGGUGGAUUGUUAAGUCCGUUGUGAAAGUUUGCGGCUCAACCGUAAAAUUGCAGUUGAUACUGGCAGUCUUGAGUACAGUAGAGGUGGGCGGAAUUCGUGGUGUAGCGGUGAAAUGCUUAGAUAUCACGAAGAACUCCGAUUGCGAAGGCAGUUCACUGGACUGCAACUGACACUGAGGCUCGAAAGUGUGGGUAUCAAACAGGAUUAGAUACCCCUGUAGUC
rnacentral:rRNA from 1 species